UACGUAGGUGGCAAGCGUUGUCCGGAAUAACUGGGCGUAAAGCGCAUGUAGACGGCAUGAUAAGCCAAAUGUGAAAUGUAGGGGCUCAACCCCUGCACUGCGAUUGGAACUGUCAAGCUUGAGUGCAGGAGAGGCAAAUGGAAUUCCCAGUGUAGCAGUGAAAUGCGUAGAGAUUGGGAGGAACACCAGUGGCGAAGGCGAUUUGCUGGACUGCAACUGACGUUGAGAUGCGAAAGCUAGGGGAGCAAACGGGAUUAGAUACCCCGGUAGUCCUAGCCGUAAACGAUGGAUACUAGGUGUAGAGGGUAUCGACCCCUUCUGUGCCGCAGCGAACGCAAUAAGUAUCCCGCCUGGGGAGUACGGUCGCAAGACUGAA
rnacentral:rRNA from 1 species